CAAGCCCCCCUCCUUGCAGUGUGAAUUCAGUGGCCCAUUACUCUUCCGCCAACAGCGGGUAGUUGAAGAGUGGAUGGAGAACUUCAUCCUGUAUGAGGAACUUGGGGCAGGGAGAAGCUCUGUUGUCUAUAAAGGACGAAGGAAGGGCCAUCUCAGCUAUGUAGCCAUCAUCUGCGCGGACAAAGCCAAGAGACCUGAGAUUACUAACCAUGUACGUCUCAGCCAUGAUCUGGAUCAUCCAAACAUAGUAUGCUUCUAUGAGUGGUAUGAGACAAGUAACCACCUCUGGUUGGUAGUGGAGCUCUGCACAGGUGGUUCCCUGGAGUCUGUAAUUGGUCAUGAUGGAUGUCUGUCAGAAGAUGUGGUGAGGCGGUUUGGAUGGGACUUGGUCAAAGGACUGAAACACAUCCAUAAAUUAGGAAUCAUUUUCUCUGACUUGACCCCUGCUAAGAUCCUACUGGAUGGUAGUGGCAUUCUGAAGUUUGGUAACUUCUGUCGGUCCAAGGCAGAGGGAGAGACACUGGAUGAUUUCUUCACCUUGCUCUCUACAUGUGAGGAGGCGGGGGAACGAGAUAACAAGCAGAAUCUUGAUAACAUGAAGAAAAGAUUACAAGGUUCUCCAACUUACAGCGCUCCAGAAGUUUUGCAGGGAUCAGAAACCAAUAUGAGCUCUGAUCUCUGGGCUAUGGGUUGCAUACUUUACUACAUGUACACUGGUAAACCUCCGUUCUAUUCUGAUAGCUGCACUGAACUGACAGAGAUGAUUUUACAUCAGGAACCACCACCACCUAGACAGACCGUGUAUUCAGCCAGUCCUCCCAGUGAGGAUUUCCAGAAUCUUCUGAAAGGCUUGCUCAACAAAAACCCCGAUAAGAGGAUGAACUGGUCAGAGUUGCUGGACCACCCUUUCUGGACACAAGUGCUAAAGGGGGAAGAGGAUGCAGAUGAGGGAGAAGAGGAGAAUCAAGAAGAGGAUCGGGAGGGAAACAAUGGCUGUGAGGGGGUUGGUUCAGCUAGCUUGAGACACACAAGGAUCCCUGACCCUUUCCCUCCAGGACAGGCAGACGAGCUUGCCAACAGUCCCUCUGCAAUCACCCAGCCAGCCCAUAGGAUUUCUAAGAAACUAAUAUCAUCACAGACAACAACUGUAACAACUGACAGACGGACUGAUUGCCAACAAGCUGUCAGAAACACAACCUGUGGAUCCUUAAGGAAGGGAGGAGGAGGGGGGGAGGCAAAGAAAGAAUAUGACCCCAAGCUACCUGGGGCCCAACAGAUGUACCACACACUGCAGCCCAAUAAAUCAUUCACAAUAGAUAACCUAUCAGAGUUCAGGCCAAAGAAUGGAGUGGAUGAGGACAACACUGAGGCCAUUUUUCUGCUCAGCUCCUGUGCCAACUCAAGGAGGAGCUGCAGUAUCCCAGACUCUCCAAACCAGACCCCUGCACCUCAGGGCAAUACUGGUGUUAACAUUAAAUCCUGUGUGAAAGCUCUUCUCCAUACUGACUCUGAUCUGACUGUCACCCCAAUCAUGGACAACCCCAAGAUUCUUAAGAGUUCUCCUGUGCGAUUUGAUCCCAAAACCCUUUGUGUACCAGCAUAUUCAGUUGAGAAGCUGCACUCCCUGAGUGAUGAAGAGUGGACUGUCUUCCUCUUGCAGCUCCAUUCAUCCCUUGAAGAACAGAACCCCUCCGCUCCUCUCUCCUCCUCCUCCAUAGCCCCUCCUCCUCCCUCCACAGUGACUCGCUCCAGACUCAACCUGCUGUGCUACCUCUGCUGUGUGGUUGGACAUAAAGUUAUUGCUAACAGGCUGAUUAACUCAACCCUGCUUCCAGUAUUGACUCAGCAGUUACGACAAGCUCCUAACUGGGAUGUGCGGAGCAAGGUCCUCAGAGUGAUGGGUCUCCUGGCUCUGCAUUGUUCGGAACUCGGAGAGGACAGUCCUGUUUCUGAGGCAGUGUCCACACUAACAGACCUAUUGAGAGAGAACCUGAGAAAUAGUAAAAUAAAGCAGUUCUUGCUGCCACCACUCGGGGAGUUCCUCUACCUCAUCGCCUCUCAGGAGGAGAAGAGAGGCUCCCCAGAGGGAUUGUGGUUCGUUCCCGCUGCCGCCUACACUGGCUUAAUGAGGAGCCUGCGGGAAGGGGAUGAUUCCAUAGUUCAUCACAUGGCUGCAAAAGCCAUAGAGAACAUCUCCACCACUGUCUCUGGCCCCUCCCAUCACCUGGUUACCACAGAGAUAGGCUCCGCCCUGUGGUACCUGUUCACUCACUCCACAGUGGAGGCUGUCAGAGUCACUGCCAUCUCAUCUCUUUCUAGGUUAACCCGGGUGGUCCCAGCUGUCUUCUCGGCAGUGAUUGACACCUGUGGCCCUGCGGCCAUCUUGGAGGGCAUGGGCGGAGCAGGAGCCAGGGUCCAGCAGCACCUGCUCACUGCUAUGGCCACUGCCCUAUUCACCUCACGCACCCAAACGCACCGCGUCACACAGAGCACGGAUUUGGUGUUGCAAGUGCUGCGUUGUCUAGAGAGUCCAUCCACUGUAACAAGAGCAAAAGCAUUACUACUACUAAUUCUACUAAUACAGGACAACACACACACUCUGCUUUACUGCUGUCAACACAGACUUGUGAUGUACCUGGAAAGAGAUCUGCGCAAAGCAACUCCCCUCAGAGAGAAUCCCAGCCAAUCAGGAUACCUGUCUCAGUGUCUGGAUUUACUGAUUGUGAAUCUGAGUAGCACUGCACCACUGAUACUGGAGGAAGUCUUAUGUGCUUUACGAGGUGUGAUCGGGAGGAAACACCCAUCUACAGCUCAGAGCAGACAGCUUAAACACACUUUGCCAACCAUGUCUGUAGUGCUGGAACUCCUUUCAUCACAGGUCUUUAGAUCUCAAAUUGUAACUGAAGAGUUUCUAGCUCAAAUUGGAUUGCUUCUGAACUAUAUCGCAUCUAUAGAGUCCAAUGAAACAAAUCUUGCCAGUGCUUUGGGUGCAGCACAAUGUGAGGAAUUGAUUAGGACCUCUCUAUCCAUUGUGGAGGUCCUGAGUCAGCACCAUGCUCUCACCAUUCCACAUCAAGGUGUUGUUGUGGACACCAUUCUGCCUCCUCUGACAACACUGGCUUUUAGCAGAAAUGUGGAGUGGUCUGUGUUUGUUUUGAGGGUGCUGUCCGAACUCAGUCUUGUCCUGCUGGUCCAGGAGAGUGAUGUAACUGAGGAAGAUGAUGAGACAGAGGAAAAGAAAAAGAGAAGAGAGGAAGGAGGAAGUCCAGCAGAUGGAAGCGGCGAUGGAAGCUCCUGUAGUCAAAUCUUAGCUCUCAUCACCGAAUCUCUGCUUCCAAGGUAUGAGACUCUUCUUCGAGCAGCAGAACCUAUCCCACUCUACGCCCUCAAACUACUGGUAUCGAUGACUGAACACAGCAUGCAGAUCUGCAGGUUGAUCAAACAUAGUAGGAUCCUACCAUCCGUCUUUCAACUCAUUAUGGCUAACAGUAGUAAUGUUACCAGUGGGAUGGUCCAGAAUGCAGUCGCCUUGCUGUGUAAUCUUAGUGGAGAUGCAGUCUUGGACCUGGAUCCGCUAUACAAACAAGGUCUAAUAGAGGUGGUGGUGAGCACCCUCUCAGAGGCUGCACUAUUUCACCUGGAUGGAGAAGGGCAUGGGAGGAAGGUCAGCCAUCUUGUUUUACAAGCCCUUCUGGAGCUGCUUCACAACAUCUUAAAACAAACAUCUGUUGUUGUCCGCUCCGCACUGCAGAGCCAGAGGCUAUCUUGUCCAGCAGCAGCGAUGGAGGCAGCAGAGAAGCUGCUCCUGGAAAACCGACCCCUGAGCCAACUCAGCACACACCUCAUUCACACGCUGUCCACUGAAAACCAGGAGGUUUGGGAGGAGUCUAUUCAGUGUCUGUCCCUACUUGUCCAGCUGUAUGGAGGGGAGGGUUGUGACUGCCUGUCACCUUCCUGCUUGCAAAACUUUUCACACGUGCUGCACACACACAUGCACACUGGGACUCCCCGAAUCCAACGCACAACACUUAGGAUCAUCAAACGACUGCAAAUUUGUCCCCUUGUGCAAACUCCCUCAUUACCCUCUGUGCUAACAGCUACAGUAACAUCAAGGUGCAGACUACAGAGCGAUCCGAUUGGUUAGAAUGUACCGAAGGGGCGGGGCUACUGAGUCUACUGCAGGAUAUAACUACAUCCAACAGGUGUCAUGCCGAUGUGAUUCCACUUGCUGCUGAAAUCCUCCAAGAGAUCUCUGGAUCCUAAAAGCUUUUAAUCUCCAAACCUUAAGAAAACCUGAACCAUUUCAGAACUUUAAAGGUACUUGUGAUUGUUAGUCUGCCUCUCUGAAUAAUCAGCUAGAAGACUGUUAUUUCAAAAUUUUGUCAGUUUUGGAAUAAAAUGUCUUUAGACAUUAGUUAUUUA